UAGUGGCGAACGGGUGAGUAACACGUGGGCAAUCUGCCCUUCACUCUGGGACAAGCCCUGGAAACGGGGUCUAAUACCGGAUAACACUCCCACUCGCAUGGGUGGGGGUUAAAAGCUCCGGCGGUGAAGGAUGAGCCCGCGGCCUAUCAGCUUGUUGGUGAGGUAACGGCUCACCAAGGCGACGACGGGUAGCCGGCCUGAGAGGGCGACCGGCCACACUGGGACUGAGACACGGCCCAGACUCCUACGGGAGGCAGCAGUGGGGAAUAUUGCACAAUGGGCGAAAGCCUGAUGCAGCGACGCCGCGUGAGGGAUGACGGCCUUCGGGUUGUAAACCUCUUUCAGCAGGGAAGAAGCGAAAGUGACGGUACCUGCAGAAGAAGCGCCGGCUAACUACGUGCCAGCAGCCGCGGUAAUACGUAGGGCGCAAGCGUUGUCCGGAUUUAUUGGGCGNAAAGAGCUCGUAGGCGGNUUGUCNCGUCGGGUGUGAAAGCCCGGGGCUUAACCCCGGUCUGCAUUCGAUACGGGNCUAGCUAGAGUGUGGNAGGGGAGAUCGGAAUUCCU
rnacentral:rRNA from 1 species